UGAGGCGGUUUGAUGGAAACUCCCCUUAAAAGUUUGAAUCAAAGACCAUCAGACAUCUUGCUGUGCUUAUUAACACGCUGCAUGGGCUUAAUCUAAUACACCAACACCUCUAUUAAUUUAUAUAUUUUUUAUAACUAGAAACUGAUAGUAAAUAAAUAAACAACGUAAUAAUGGAACGGAUUAUUGUUUUUUUUUGUUUUUUGUUUUUUUUUGUUUUUUUCCGGUGAUAAAUUCCAAACACACAACGCCCUCUUAUUCCAUGACACUUGGGAAGUUUCGUGUGUUUGGUUGUUACCUCAUCGUGACACAGUGGACAGAAAUAAACGCCGGCGUGUGAUAACAGGUGUUUUCCAUGACAGGACGCCACCUGAUAACAGCGGCGCACCUGCUCCUCUCUCAUCUUCAAGAAGAGGAUCCUCUUCUGCUCCUCGCUGAGGGCCUCCAGCACCUCGGGGUCCACCCACAUGUCCUCAAGGAUUUUUGCCAGCAUCUUGCCUCUUUUCCCCCGGGUUGCCAGAGACAACUGUCAGCCCCUCUGCCUCUCAGUCCAAUGGGUCGUGUUUCAGCAGUGGGAAUGUGUGGUGUUCAUGCAAGAAUGGAGAAAAAUAAAUGUUGUGGAACAAGGCCGUUACUUUACUGAUGGUGCCCCAGAUCUCAAAUGUCAGCCUCGUCCCAGAUGCAAUACAUUAACAGAACGCUGCUUUUUGAUGGUGGCAACAGCUAUCCACGUUGAACAGCUGUUAAUGUAACAUCCACAGGUUUGCAUUCAACAACCUGACAGCCAUCUACGAUGAACAUUAAAGAAGCAGUGUGACACCAAUACGCCAACUAGCACCUCUGAAGAUCACCAUUUAAUAUGUAA